rnacentral:rRNA from 1 species
UACGGAUGGUGCAAGCGUUAUCCGGAUUUACUGGGUUUAAAGGGUGCGUAGGUGGAUUGGGUAGUCAGUGGUGAAAUACUACAGCGCAACUGUGGAACUGCCAUUGAUACUCUCAAUCUUGAAUGCAGUGGAGGCAGGCGGAAUGUGUCAUGUAGCGGUGAAAUGCUUAGAUAUGACACAGAACACCUAUUGCGAAGGCAGCUUGCUACACUGUGAUUGACACUGAGGCACGAAAGCGUGGGGAUCAAACAGG